UGGGGAAUUUUGGACAAUGGGCGCAAGCCUGAUCCAGCAAUGCCGCGUGCAGGAAGAAGGCCUUCGGGUUGUAAACUGCUUUUGUCAGGGAAGAAAUCCUCUGGGUUAAUACCUCGGGGGGAUGACGGUACCUGAAGAAUAAGCACCGGCUAACUACGUGCCAGCAGCCGCGGUAAUACGUAGGGUGCGAGCGUUAAUCGGAAUUACUGGGCGUAAAGCGUGCGCAGGCGGUUGUGCAAGACAGGUGUGAAAAUCCCCCGGGGCUUAACCUGGGAACUGCACUUGUGACUGCACGGCUAGAGUACGGUAGAGGGGGAUGGAAUUCCGCGUGUAGCAGUGAAAUGCGUAGAUAUGCGGAGGAACACCGAUGGCGAAGGCAAUCCCCUGGACCUGUACUGACGCUCAUGCACGAAAGCGUGGGGAGCAAACAGGAUUAGAUACCCUGGUAGUCCACGCCCUAAACGAUGUCAACUGGUUGUUGGACGGCUUGCUGUUCAGUAACGAAGCUAACGCGUGAAGUUGACCGCCUGGGGAGUACGGCCGCAAGGUUGAAACUCAAAUGAAUUGACGGGGUCAUAGCUGUUUCCUG
rnacentral:rRNA from 1 species